AUUGAACGCUAGCGGGAUGCUUUACACAUGCAAGUCGAACGAGUGGCGGACGGGUGAGUAAUAUAUCGGAACGUGCCCAGUAGCGGGGGAUAACUACUGGAAACGGUAGCUAAUACCGCAUACCAUCAGAUGAACCCAUAUGGGAUUAGCUAGUAGGUAAGGUAACGGCUUACCUAGGCGACGAUCCCUAGCUGGUCUGAGAGGAUGAUCAGCCACACUGGGACUGAGACACGGCCCAGACUCCUACGGGAGGCAGCAGUGGGGAAUAUUGCACAAUGGGCGCAAGCCUGAUGCAGCCAUGCCGCGUGUAUGAUGAAGGCCUUCGGGUUGUAAAGUACUUUUGGCAGAGAAGCGGUAUCUGCAGAAUAAGCACCGGCUAACUACGUGCCAGCAGCCGCGGUAAUAC
rnacentral:rRNA from 1 species